rnacentral:hammerhead_ribozyme from 1 species
GUACUGCUGAUGAGUUCUAAUAGGAGCGAAACUCGAGUCCAGUAC